ACUCUGGUGUUGUGUAUUUGAGAUGCGAGUACAGUGAAACAAUCAUCUGGAAUAAUUCUGCUGUAGAAAUACUGACGGGUUCAGCGCUCCAACCGAAAGGAGAGUUCAUUAAUGUCACAAAAACAGGAAAUCCAGAAAUCUCCUACACCUGUUCACUCCAGAACGCAGUGAGUAACAAGACCAGUGAUCCGGUCUAUGAGAGAGAUCUGUUUAAAGAAUCAAACAAAGGAUGUGUCGUGUCGGCUGUCAUUCCUUCAGUCACUAUGGUUAUAAUUAUAAUCCUUUUCCUAUCAUAGCCUUUCACGAUGCCACACACUUCUGCUCAUCAUGGACUCU